GGGGAUUUAGCUCAGUGGUAGAGCGCUUGCCUAGCAAGUGCAAGGCCCUGGGUUCGGUCCCCAGCUCCAAAAAAAAAAAAAAAAAAAAAAGCACCGUUUGCUCUUCCAGAGGACCUGGGUUCAAUUCCCAGCACCCACA
rnacentral:tRNA from 1 species